AUCCGUGUUGCCGUGAUAUAAGGUUGUCCUAAAAUCAACGGAUAAGACGUUGUAUCUUGAACGAAGAAAUGUUGCUCCGUCACAACAUCCCCAAUCCGAAUUUUGACAUCUGGACAAGCUCCAUAUAAUUCGCCUCGUGUGUUAUUAGCUGCUCGUAUUGCCCAUCCAUGUUCUAUAUCAAUUGGCCAUUUUUGCUUCUUAUAAAGAUCUUUAGACAUGAGAUUUAUUUCAAAACCAUGGUCGACCAAAGCAACUAUUGGUUCAUCUAUAUCUCCUACCUUCACCAAUACCUCAGUAGUUGUCCUUGCCCAAUGCUUUCGAGUAUAAUGGCUCAAAGUUUCCAUUUCCUUGUCACUAGAAUCUUCGAAACGUAC
rnacentral:lncRNA from 1 species